GUUGUUUAUAUUCCAAUAACAAUUGGAAAUGAUAUAUUUAGUAUAAAAUUUUAUGUUGUUCAGAGUAUAAAGCCAGAUAUUAUUUUAGGCUUAGAAUUUUUACAAGCAAAUAAUAUUAUUAUAGAUUUUAAUAAUAAUAAGAUACGUGUAGACCACUCGACGUCAACUUAUUUUAAGCAAAGACACUGUCAUACCGCCGAUGAGCGAGAAAGUUGUUGUAGCUAGAAUAAGAGGUAGUUAUCUGCCUGAUGAAAUAAUUGGUUUAACAUCAGCAUCGCCAAAAUUAUUGUCUUCUGGGUUAAUGACUGCUAAGUCAAUUAGUAAAGUAGAUAAAAAUCAGAUUUUGUUUGGUGUGGGUAAUUUUACGGAUAAACCAAUUACUUUAUCAAAACAUGAUAAACUGUAUGAUUUUGAAUCUCUUGAUACCGGAAGUAGAGUAUGUAAUGUAUCAAAAUCAAGUGUUGAUGUUAAAAAUCAAGCUGAUAAAUCUUUAUCAGUAGAUCAAAUAUCUCAGUUACAAGAUUUAGUUGACAAAUAUAAUGAUGUUUUUGUUGGUAAAGACAGUAAACUAGGUAAAUGUUCACUUUUGAAACACAAAAUUGAGGUUCCAGAGGGAACCGCGCCUGUUCGUCAACGAGCAUACAAGGUAGGCCCACGUCAAAAAGAUGUUUUGGAAAACAUGAUUAAAGACAUGCUUGAGAAAGAUAUUAUUGAAGAGUCUAUUAGUCCUUGGGGUGCUCCUUGUCUGCUCGUUGCGAAGAAAAAUAACAAUGGGUAUCGUUUUGUUGUUGAUUUUCGUUCUCUGAACAAACAUAUUGUAAAUCUAGACGCUUAUCCACUCCCUACAACAGAUGAAGCGCUAGAAAGCUUAGGGUCGGCUUCACCGACGUACUUUUCAUGUUUAGACCUUCAGUCAGGUUUUUAUCAGUUAGAAAUUGACCCUUCUUCCCGUCCCCUUACAGCGUGGCGUUGUCAUUUUCAAUAGCCCUCUGACUUUUCAAAGAGUCAUGGAAGCAGUGUUGAGAGGACUCAAUUGGAAAUCAUCGCUUGUGUACCUUGAUGACGUUAUAGUGUUUAGUCGAACUUUUCAAGACCAUUUAUUACAUUUGCAACAAGUUUUCGAAAGACUUCGUAAUGCCGGACUUAAACUGCAUCCGUCAAAGUGUAACUUUGCAAAACGGGAGAUACGCUAUCUUGGACACAUUGUCAAUAGCGAAGGAAUAUCCCCCGAUCCCGAAAAAGUGACCGCCAUAAGAACAUAUCCAAUACCAACCAAUUUAAAACAGUUAAGAACAUUUUUAGGACUUUCAGGAUAUUACCGCCGUUUUAUGAAGAACUAUUCAAAACUUGCGUCACCUCUCUAUCAAUUAACGAGAAAAGAUACAAACUUUGUGUGGACUGAACAGUGCCAAACGGCUUUUGACGAAUUAAAAGAAUCAUUAAGUCAACCACCAAUUCUAGGAUACCCGCGAUACGACCAACCCUUCCGUCUCUACACUGAUGCUAGUUCGUUUUCUCUUGGAGCUGUGCUAUGCCAAGUUCAAAAUGGAAUUGAACGUGUAAUAUGUUACGCUGGAAAGUCUUUAUCUGCGUCCGAGAAAAAUUACGGAAUAAGCGAAAAAGAGUGUUUAGCUUUAGUAUAUGGUAUAAAACAUUUCGAUUGUUAUUUAAGACACAAUAAAUUUGAAGCUUUUGUGGAUCAUUCUUCUCUAAAAUGGCUAUUGACGAUGAAUGAGCCUGUAGGAAAAUUCGCACGCUGGAAUGCGUUAGUGCAAUCAUACGAUUUUGACAUUAAGUACCGCCCAGGCAAAAUUCAUACUAAUGCAGAUGGCAUAUCAAGGCGGACUUAUGAUGACGAGGUAGAUCAUUCAGAUAAUUGGGAUGAACUGCCAACUUUUGACUGUAUUUCUCAACCAAUCAAAGAUACACAGAGGCGUGCCGAAUUGCCAAAUGAUGCAGCGAAACUCAAAGGACUGACAAUAGUCACGUGUGCUGCUGCCGUAACGGAGAACGACGAAAAUGUAGUACUAUCUAAUGACAGUAUCCGUGAUUAUCAAAGAAUUGAUGCGUGGUACAAAGAUUUAAUUAUUUAUCUUGAAACAGAAACACUUCCAGACGAUCCCAAGAGACGUAGAGAUAUUCUUACCAUACACAACUCUUAUGUCAUAGACAAUGGAACUUUAUUUCACAUUUAUACUCAAGAUAAACGCAAAGUUAAGAACAUUGACAUAAACCUACAAAUUUGUAUACCAAAACGAUUAGUGAAACUUGUACUAGAAGAAACACACGACUCUUUAUUGAAUGGUAAUCACUGCGGCAUAAAUCGUACUUUAUUCAAAACGCGCUUACGAUAUUACUGGCCAUCGUUAAACUCCGACGUUAUAGAAUGGGUAAAGUCUUGCGUAAUGUGCAGCCAACGUAAGCGACCACAAACAUUAACAAAAGCUAGAUUAAUGUCCAUGCCUGUCCCCAGUCAACCAUUUGAAGCCGUUAGUACUGAUAUUUUAGGACCAAUGCGUAAGACUGUAACCAAUGGAAAUAAAUAUGUACUUGUAUUUAUUUGUUACUUGACCAAAUAUGUGGAACUUAUACCUGUGAAAGACAUUACCGCUGUUACUGUAGCAGACGCCUUUUUAAAGAAUGUCAUAUGCCGCCAUGGUAUUUGUAAAACUUUGCACUCUGAUCGUGGAACGAACUAUUUAUCGAACAUUGUUCGCGAAACUUGUCGUCUUUUAGAUGUAAAGAAAACACAGACAACUAGUUUUCAUCCACAGUGUAACGGUCAGAGCGAGAGAAUGAUGUCAACUAUAGUGAAUUCUAUUUCCAAGCGUAUUGAUGAUGACGAAGAUAAUUGGGAUCGAUUUAUUCCGUUCAUUCAAUAUUCGUACAACAAUACCCCUUGUCUUGACAGUACUGAAUAUACACCAUUUUUUCUCACACAUGGACGAUAUCCUAGAUCCUUGCUAGACAUAAGUUUUGACAAUUUUGAUUUGCCAGUGACUUGCCGUGAUUAUAUAAUUCGUUUAUUGGAAAAUCUGGACAAAUCACGAGAAGUAGCCGUAGAAAUUCUCAAGGAACGAAAACAACAAAUGGUAACAACAGCAAACAGAAAGACACAUGAACUACAGUUCGCUGUCGGCGAUAUUGUGUACAUAUAUCGGCCAGUUGUAACUCCAGGAAAGCAUCGAAAAUUCAUGCGACCGUGGAUUGGACCGUACUAUAUUACACAAAAACUUUCAGACAUUCAUGUUAAAAUCCGCCGUAAAUCAGAUGGAAAACUGGUCAAGAACCGUGUUCAUGUCAAUCGUUUGAAACAUGGGUUUUUGUGGCAUGAUAGGCCACAGGACCCUGAACCUCCCCCAAAUGUAGAUGCCACUGAGCCCGCUAUUUUAGCAGAUGAAGAAAUUCCCCCUAAUUUUGUAGAUAAUACUGAAAUACCCCAGGGUGUGGAUAAUGUGUCUCAAAAUGGUGACCCUCAGAAUGAUAGUAUUUCUGAAAAAUUGUAUGAGGUAGAAAAAAUUUUAAGAAAGAAAUUUUUUGAUGGUAAAUGGUAUUACCGAGUGAAAUGGUUAGAUUUUGACUCCACGAAUAAUUCUUGGGUAGAGUACCAAGAUUUAAAUGAGAAAUGUAAAAAAUAUGUUAAUGACAUGCAUAAGAAAAUAUUAACUGAUCGUAGAAGUAAAAAGAAGAAUUAA
rnacentral:sRNA from 1 species